rnacentral:rRNA from 1 species
UACGUAGGGUGCGAGCGUUAAUCGGAAUUACUGGGCGUAAAGCGUGCGCAGGCGGUCUGUUAAGACCGAUGUGAAAUCCCCGGGCUUAACCUGGGAACUGCAUUGGUGACUGGCAGGCUUUGAGUAUGGCAGAGGGGGGUAGAAUUCCACGUGUAGCAGUGAAAUGCGUAGAGAUGUGGAGGAAUACCGAUGGCGAAGGCAGCCCCCUGGGCCAAUACUGACGCUCAUGCACGAAAGCGUGGGGAGCAAACGGG